GCCAGACUCCUACGGGAGGCAGCAGUGGGGAAUAUUGCACAAUGGGGGAAACCCUGAUGCAGCGACGCCGCGUGAGUGAAGAAGUAUUUCGGUAUGUAAAGCUCUAUCAGCAGGGAAGAAAUAGCGACCUUUGGGUCGCCAGACGGUACCUGACUAAGAAGCCCCGGCUAACUACGUGCCAGCAGCCGCGGUAAUACGUAGGGGGCAAGCGUUAUCCGGAUUUACUGGGUGUAAAGGGAGCGUAGACGGCGCGGCAAGUCUGAAGUGAAAGGCAGGGGCUUAACCCCUGAACUGCUUUGGAAACUGCCAUGCUAGAGUGCUGGAGAGGUAAGUGGAAUUCCUAGUGUAGCGGUGAAAUGCGUAGAUAUUAGGAGGAACACCAGUGGCGAAGGCGGCUUACUGGGCAGUAACUGACGUUGAGGCUCGAAAGCGUGGGGAGCAAACAGGAUUAGAUACCCGUGUAGU
rnacentral:rRNA from 1 species